rnacentral:sRNA from 1 species
GUUGUGGCAAAAUCCACAACCGGGCGUGACAACCUGAAUUCACAAUCAGCGCACAACACGCGCCAGCGUGUUUUUU